rnacentral:rRNA from 1 species
CCUACGGGAGGCAGCAGUGGGGAAUAUUGCGCAAUGGGCGAAAGCCUGACGCAGCGACGCCGCGUGAGGGAUGAAGGUCUUCGGAUCGUAAACCUCUGUCAGCAGGGAAGAACGGUCACUGUGCUAAUCAGCAGUGAAUUGACGGUACCUGCAAAGGCAGCACCGGCUAACUCCGUGCCAGCAGGCGCGGUAAUGCGGAGGGUGCGAGCGUUAAUCGGAAUUACUGGGCGUAAAGCGCUCGUAGGCGGUAUGUCAAGUCAAGGGUGAAAUCCCCGCGCUCAACGUGGGAACUGCCUUUGAAACUGGCAAACUGGGGUGUGUUAGAGGAGAGUGGAAUUCCAGGUGGAGGAGUGAAAUCCGUAGAUAUCUGGUGGAACAUCAGUGGCGAAGGCGACUAUCUGGCACAUAACUGACGCUGAGGAGCGAAAGCGUGGGUAGCAAACAGGAUUAGAUACCCCAGUAGUC